AGAGUUUGAUCAUGGCUCAGGACGAACGCUGGCGGCGCGCCUAACACAUGCAAGUCGAACGGAGUUAUUUUGGCAGAAGCCUUCGGGUGGACGCUGAUAUAACUUAGUGGCGAACGGGUGAGUAACACGUGAGCAACCUGCCCUUCAGAGGGGGACAACAGUUGGAAACGACUGCUAAUACCGCAUAAGACCACGGUGUGGCAUCACACAGAGGUCAAAGGAGAAAUCCGCUGAAGGAUGGGCUCGCGUCCAAUUAGCUAGAUGGUGAGGUAACGGCCCACCAUGGCGACGAUUGGUAGCCGGACUGAGAGGUUGAUCGGCCACAUUGGGACUGAGACACGGCCCAGACUCCUACGGGAGGCAGCAGUGGGGAAUAUUGCACAAUGGAGGAAACUCUGAUGCAGCGACGCCGCGUGAGGGAAGAAGGUCUUCGGAUUGUAAACCUCUGUUGUCAGGGAUGAUAAUGACGGUACCUGACGAGGAAGCCACGGCUAACUACGUGCCAGCAGCCGCGG
rnacentral:rRNA from 1 species